rnacentral:rRNA from 1 species
AGUGAACGCUGGCGGUAGGCCUAACACAUGCAAGUCGAACGGCAGCACAGUAAGAGCUUGCUCUUACGGGUGGCGAGUGGCGGACGGGUGAGGAGUACAUCGGAAUCUACUUUUUCGUGGGGGAUAACGUAGGGAAACUUACGCUAAUACCGCAUACGACCUACGGGUGAAAGCAGGGGAUCUUCGGACCUUGCGCGAUAGAAUGAGCCGAUGUCGGAUUAGCUAGUUGGCGGGGUAAAGGCCCACCAAGGCGACGAUCCGUAGCUGGUCUGAGAGGAUGAUCAGCCACACUGGAACUGAGACACGGUCCAGACUCCUACGGGAGGCAGCAGUGGGGAACAUUGGACAAUGGGCGCAAGCCUGAUCCAGCCAUACCGCGUGGGUGAAGAAGGCCUUCGGGUUGUAAAGCCCUUUUGUUGGGAAAGAAAAGCAGCAGGUUAAUACCCCGCUGUUCUGACGGUACCCAAAGAAUAAGCACCGGCUAACUUCGUG